rnacentral:lncRNA from 1 species
AGCUGCACAUCUGCUACACAUGUGCAGGGAGGCCUAGGUUAAGCCCCUGUAUGUUCUUUACUUUGUGGCUCAUUCUCUGAGAGCCCAUGUGUCAAGGUUAGUUGAUUCCAUUGAUCUUCCUGUCUAGUUCCAAUACCAUUGGUUCCUGCAAUCCUUCCUCCUAUUUUUCCAUAAGAGACCCCAAUCUACACUAACAAUCUGGGUGAAUAAUCUGCCUGGGGUGAACCUUUAGAGUACAACAAAGAGGGUAUUGGGAGGGGAAAGAAGGUUGCAGAAUCAAGUAUGUGAAACCCUAAGUGAGAUGGUUAAUUGACCAUGAAAAUGACUUGAAAUCUGCAACUAAUGGGAUUGAGGAGGUGACAAGGGGCAAUCACUAGGAAGCAACAAAGACCUGGGAUAACAGAAGCACUCAAGAAUCAAUGGGGUUACCUUAUAUGUGCUUACUCUAUUGGGGAUAUGGAACCGGAAGAGACUACCUCUUGUUCUCAGGAAGGAAUCCAGAUAAUUUCAAGCCAAACUACAUCUUUCUACAAGAAACGCAGGCAUUGGGGAUGGAACAGAGAUUAAGGGACUGACCAUCAUAUAAACAGCCCAAUUUGAGAGCUGUCCUAUGGGCAAGCACCAAUCCAUGAAGCUACUGAUGAUAUUCUCUUAUACUUGAAGACAUGAGCAUAUUGUGUUCUGAGAGGUUAUACCCAGCAGCUGAUUCAUUUUUCUCCAAAAACACAUAGUGUAUCAUUUUUGCACUAAGACAUGUGUUCUGACUUUAUCUUGUUCAAAAGUAUAUAAUCAUAAACAUUAUUUAUAAAUCCUGAUUGAACACAGUUAUCAUUUACAGUGAUGUCCUGAGUCAUAUAUUUAGUCAUCAAUAAGUCAUGAAAGAACAGAAUUAUCUUUUACAACUGUUUCCCCUUAACAAAUAUAUAUUAACACUUAAGACUAUUGAGGUAUAUUUUGUCAAGGCAUGACAUUCCAUUCCUUGGCAAAGACUAAAUCUGUGUACAGAGUGAAGAAAGGUUGAGCAAGGAAGGCACAACUUGGAAUCAAUUCCAUGAAUAGGGACCAAAUCUUUGUCAUUACUACUGACAAAAAUUUGUGUUUGAAAAUAUGAGCUUACCCUGCCUGGUCUGAGACCCCACACCGAAAUGUAGCAGAAGACAGCAUUGGGUGGCCUCAAUGUGAGAGGAGGAGCCUAAAAUUUUAGAGACUUUAUGCCCAAGGAAAAGGAAAGGCCAGGCGCAGGAUGAGCACUAUCUCCGAGGUAAAGGGGAAUGGGAAUGAGUUGAAGAAAUCUGG